UACGGAGGGUGCAAGCGUUAUCCGGAUUCACUGGGCUUAAAGGGUGCGUAGGAGGGCAGGUAAGUCAGUGGUGAAAUCCCCGAGCUUAACUUGGGAACUGCCGUUGAUACUAUCUGUCUUGAAUAUUGUGGAGGUAAGCGGAAUAUGUCAUGUAGCGGUGAAAUGCUUAGAUAUGACAUAGAACACCAAUUGCGAAGGCAGCUUGCUACACAACUAUUGACUCUGAUGCACGAAAGCGUGGGGAUCAAACAGG
rnacentral:rRNA from 1 species